GUCCUUCAGAGAGACAGGCAGCUGGGACCAGCCCAACUCCUUGCCACAGGUCACGCUUGCUUGUCUCACCCUGAGAGGAGAAUCGGGGCCCAUGUGACCCUCACAGCCUUGGCAUCUCUGCACCUGCUGUGAGCUUCAUGUUACGUUAUUGAUGUGAUGAGAAAAAAACUGGCUGCCAUCUCCGGUCCUACAGUCUUGGACGUGUGGUAUCUUCAGCCCUGUUUCAAGCCCGGGUGACCAGGUAGGGACUCCAGUGUGUUUGGGGUGUCUCUAAGCCUUGUCUAGAGUUGGAAGUUGGAAUAGACCCACAAGAGACCAAUGGGGCACCUUCCCAGCAGCCUCUGGGAAACCCAUACUUCCACCCCUUUCCAGAACGUGGAAGGGUGAGGACACUUUACCUAGUGAUUGGCAUCUAGAGAACAUGAAGGUCCUCAGACCUGGCUGAGCUGCCCCCUUGAGACCUGCAGGAAGAAGGAAACUGCCCACAAGGCCCAGUACAGCAGGGUUGGGGCAGGAGCAAACAGCACCCGAUUUUUUAAAAACCACUUUAAAUAACAUUUGAUGUGAUCAUUUUAUGAGGAAAUGUUAUAAAUAGCAUGUCUUAUUGUUCCAAA